UACGUAGGCAGCGAGCGUUGUUCGGAAUUACUGGGCGUAAAGAGUGUGUAGGCGGUGUUCCCAGUCUGUUGUGAAAUCUCCCGGCUUAACUGGGAGGGUGCAGCGGAAACUAGAAUGCUAGAGGGUGGGAGAGGUAAGCGGAAUUCCUGGUGUAGCGGUGAAAUGCGUAGAUAUCAGGAGGAACACCUGUGGUGUAGACAGCUUACUGGACCGACACUGACGCUGACAGCGCGAAAGCCAGGGGAGCAAACGGG
rnacentral:rRNA from 1 species